GGUGUAACUGGAAUCUCAAAUUGGGAUGCCAAGGAAAUGGUGCUUCUGGAUGGCAUAUUCUGUACUUAAAUGGAAACUGAAGCUGCAGAUAAGCGACAUUGUGAUGACCUACAGCAAUGAACAGUAAACUUGAACUUGCCUGUUCAGGAAGAGUAACAUUCCUGAAGACAUACAUGGCAGAAGUGGGACCUGACCUCAGCUUUCCCAGACCAAAGUCCUGUAACUGUUGGAUCUCGCAGUCCUUCCUUAUCCCUGGCUCAUUUUGAAAAAUAAAAUAAAACAAACCCA